ACGGCAGGUUGUUUCCGGCCUGUUUUUUUGUUACUUUUGUUUUGUAUCUGACUUGUACGACGUUUCAAGGAAGAAGUAUUACAUUUUGCAAGCUUAAUAUUUGAGAAACUGAAAUGGCCUCAAAUCAGUAAAUGUAAGUUAAAGAAUAAACACAUUUAUAGCUCACCUGGCCCGAAGGCCUCAAAUCAGUAAAUGUAAGUUAAAGAAUAAACACAUGUUUAGCUCACUGAAUGGAAUGAAACCAAACAUGGCAUGAAUGUUCCUUAUGAGGUGCUGACCAAGUGUUGUUACUUUGUAGCCGAUCCAUCAUCCAAGAUGGCCGCCAGCAGGGGACUUAAUUUAACAUAGGACCCUAUGGGAAAUGCAUACAAAUGACUUCUUCUAGAGAACCACUGAAUGGAAUGAAACCAAACAUGACAUGAAUGUUCCUUAUGGGUUGCUGACCAAGUGUUGUUACUUUGUAGCCGAUCCAUCAUCCAAGAUGGCCGCCAGCGGGGGACUUAGUUUAACAUAGGACCCUAUGGGAAAUGCAUACAAAUGACUUCUUCUAGAGAACCACUGAAUGGAAUGAAACCAAACAUGGCAUGAAUGUUCCUUAUGGGUUGCUGACCAAGUGUUGUUACUUUGUAGCCGAUCCAUCAUCCAAGAUGGCCGCCAGCGGGGGACUUAGUUUAACAUAGGACCCUAUGGGAAAUGCAUACAAAUGACUUCUUCUAGAGAACCACUGAAUGGAAUGAAACCAAACAUGGCAUGAAUGUUCCUUAUGAGGUGCUGACCAAGUGUUGUUACUUUGUAGCCGAUCCAUCAUCCAAGAUGGCCGCCAGCGGGGGACUUAGUUUAACAUAGGACCCUAUGGGAAAUGCAUACAAAUGACUUCUUCUAGAGAACCACUGAAUGGAAUGAAACCAAACAUGGCAUGAAUGUUCCUUAUGAGGUGCUGACCAAGUGUUGUUACUUUGUAGCCGAUCCAUCAUCCAAGAUGGCCGCCAGCGGGGACUUAGUUUAACAUAGGACCCUAUGGGAAAUGCAUACAAAUGACUUCUUCUAGAGAACCACUGAAUGGAAUGAAACCAAACAUGGCAUGAAUGUUCCUUAUGAGGUGCUGACCAAGUGUUGUUACUUUGUAGCCGAUCCAUCAUCCAAGAUGGCCGCCAGCGGGGGACUUAGUUUAACAUAGGACCCUAUGGGAAAUGCAUACAAAUGACUUCUUCUAGAGAACCACUGAAUGGAAUGAAACCAAACAUGGCAUGAAUGUUCCUUAUGAGGUGCUGACCAAGUGUUGUUACUUUGUAGCCGAUCCAUCAUCCAAGAUGGCCGCCAGCGGGGGACUUAGUUUAACAUAGGACCCUAUGGGAAAUGCAUACAAAUGACUUCUUCUAGAGAACCACUGAAUGGAAUGAAACCAAACAUGGCAUGAAUGUUCCUUAUGAGGUGCUGACCAAGUGUUGUUACUUUGUAGCCGAUCCAUCAUCCAAGAUGGCCGCCAGCGGGGGACUUAGUUUAACAUAGGACCCUAUGGGAAAUGCAUACAAAUGACUUCUUCUAGAGAACCACUGAAUGGAAUGAAACCAAACAUGGCAUGAAUGUUCCUUAUGAGGUGCUGACCAAGUGUUGUUACUUUGUAGCCGAUCCAUCAUCCAAGAUGGCCGCCAGCGGGGACUUAGUUUAACAUAGGACCCUAUGGGAAAUGCAUACAAAUGACUUCUUCUAGAGAACCACUGAAUGGAAUGAAACCAAACAUGGCAUGAAUGUUCCUUAUGAGGUUGCUGACCAAGUGUUGUUACUUUGUAGCCGAUCCAUCAUCCAAGAUGGCCGCCAGCGGGGACUUAGUUUAACAUAGGACCCUAUGGGAAAUGCAUACAAAUGACUUCUUCUAGAGAACCACUGAAUGGAAUGAAACCAAACAUGGCAUGAAUGUUCCUUAUGAGGUGCUGACCAAGUGUUGUUACUUUGUAGCCGAUCCAUCAUCCAAGAUGGCCGCCAGCGGGGACUUAGUUUAACAUAGGACCCUAUGGGAAAUGCAUACAAAUGACUUCUUCUAGAGAACCACUGAAUGGAAUGAAACCAAACAUGGCAUGAAUGUUCCUUAUGAGGUGCUGACCAAGUGUUGUUACUUUGUAGCCGAUCCAUCAUCCAAGAUGGCCGCCAGCGGGGGACUUAGUUUAACAUAGGACCCUAUGGGAAAUGCAUACAAAUGACUUCUUCUAGAGAACCACUGAAUGGAAUGAAAACCAAACAUGGCAUGAAUGUUCCUUAUGAGGUGCUGACCAAGUGUUGUUACUUUGUAGUAGCCGAUCCAUCAUCCAAGAUGGCCGCCAGCGGGGGACUUAGUUUAACAUAGGACCCUAUGGGAAAUGCAUACAAAUGACUUCUUCUAGAGAACCACUGAAUGGAAUGAAACCAAACAUGGCAUGAAUGUUCCUUAUGAGGUGCUGACCAAGUGUUGUUACUUUGUAGCCGAUCCAUCAUCCAAGAUGGCCGCCAGCGGGGACUUAGUUUAACAUAGGACCCUAUGGGAAAUGCAUACAAAUGACUUCUUCUAGAGAACCACUGAAUGGAAUGAAACCAAACAUGGCAUGAAUGUUCCUUAUGAGGUGCUGACCAAGUGUUGUUACUUUGUAGCCGAUCCAUCAUCCAAGAUGGCCGCCAGCGGGGGACUUAGUUUAACAUAGGACCCUAUGGGAAAUGCAUACAAAUGACUUCUUCUAGAGAACCACUGAAUGGAAUGAAAUCAAACAUGGCAUGAAUGUUCCUUAUGAGGUGCUGACCAAGUGUUGUUACUUUGUAGCCGAUCCAUCAUCCAAGAUGGCCGCCAGCGGGGGACUUAGUUUAACAUAGGACCCUAUGGGAAAUGCAUACAAAUGACUUCUUCUAGAGAACCACUGAAUGGAAUGAAACCAAACAUGGCAUGAAUGUUCCUUAUGAGGUGCUGACCAAGUGUUGUUACUUUGUAGCCGAUCCAUCAUCCAAGAUGGCCGCCAGCGGGGACUUAGUUUAACAUAGGACCCUAUGGGAUAUGCAUACAAAUGACUUCUUCUAGAGAACCAGUGAAUGGAAUGAAACCAAACAUGGCUUGAAUGUUCCUUAUGAGGUGAUGACCAAGUGUUGUUACUUUGUAGCAGAAAAAAAAAUCAGGAAUCUAAUAAUUUGAUAAAAACAAAAGAAACCAUUUCAAGUAUAAGAUUUAUGUUAUCAAGUUUGAGACUUUUUUAAAAUGCAACUUCUUUGAAAUGUAAUAUAUUUAAGAAAUAUUUUAGUGGUAAGUAAGCUAACGUUAAAUUUUAUGGGUGAAACGGAAAGCGGGAGGGGGCCUUAAUUAAUUGAUUCGAAAUAAACAGGCUCUGAUCUUCACUUUGAUUAAAAAAUGCAGGAUGUGCCAUUUCAUUUCCCCAUUCCCCCUUUAAACAUUUCGUGAAAAUCGCACGUUUGCUGUCAAAUACAUGAAUUUAAUAUUCAGUGGGGUGAGGGGUGCCGGGGGUUGGAAUCUCUUUUUUUGGACGAUCAAUGCAUGUGAAUGUGGACAAAUAGUGGAAACCCCCUUUUUCCUGGGUUGGGAACCCCUUUCUUAAAAUGACUGGAUCCGCCCCUGAUAGAUUUGAAUUCAACUUAUAAUUAAAUUCAAUAACAAUAUAAAUGUAUCAAAAGAAUGAAUUUUCUACUUCAUUAUUGAGUGAAAUGUUAUAUAAAAAAGGAUUUUGUUCUGUUAUUGUAUAUAUUAAGACAAAUACUUAAAAAAAAUAAAAUCAUGCUCGGUCUCUGCAAGUGUUGAUCACGAUUAAUUAAACACGUGUUACUAUAUGACCAAUCGCAGCCAACCGUCCAAAAUUGAGGCCUGACAUAAGUUGGAUGAUUUUCUUCAAGAGUUGCUGCUUAUUUGGACAUGUAUUACACGAACACUUUUUAUUUAUAGGAUCAAUCGUGCAUCGAUAAGUUGAUAGGAAUUUUAUCUUUUGAUGAGAUUUGUUUCUUAUUUACAUAUUUUCUGUCUUUUUUAAUUGAAAUAUAAACGUCGGUAUCAUCAUUUCUUCACUUUCAGCAUUAUCUCAAAUUACUAUUCAUAUCCAUGCUCCAUAAAAAAGGGGGGGUAUGUAUUUUUCUAAUUAUAUUAACUAUUUACCUUUACAACACCAUCACCCAAUAUAUAUAUUUUCGUAUUUUAUAUUAAAGUCGUACAAUACUAAAUUGAAUACAACUUUUUUCCCUAUAACUAGUACGUAUACCCUCUCAACCACGACAAAACGAAAUACACUAAAUUCAUAGUAAUAUAGUCAUAGAGAACACAGCAUCGUCAAGAAACUCAAAAAAGAACAAUAUAAGGAAUUAAUGUAAAUUGUUACGAAUUAUUAAUUGUUAAUUAUUAGCAAUUGGUCGUUUUCUGUUCUUUAUGGUAAAUUUGCAGAUGUAUGGCUUUCAUUAUCAAAUUUAAUAUGGAAUCACAUUGAUUGAUUGAUUGAUUGAUUGAUUGGUGUUUGCUUAACCUCUAAAUGUUAAUAUUUCGUUAAGACGAGAACGGAUUAGCAAAAACUGAAACUCCAUGGUACAAAUAUAGUUUGUAUGUUUGGAUAAUGUCAACUUCCUGCCAGCUUAGAACGUAUUGUGAUAUUUCUGUUAUAAAAAGCAAGCUUGAGCCUAGUGUUUCGCAAUUGCUUAUUGUUAUGUUUUCAGGACCUAUUGCCAGUACCAUCAUCAACCGAUAUAGUUGUAGAGUGGCUAUGAUACUAGGGUCACUCAUGUUAUCCACAGGACUUGUCUUAACAGGCUUUGUAGAGGAUAUCAAAUGGACAUUUUUUACAUUUGGAAUUCUUGCAGGUAAAAUUAGAAAAUCGAAUUCCAAGGUAGAUUCAAUAGAAUGAGUCAAUAACACCUGACAAAAUAAAAUGCUAAAAUAUAUUAAUUGGCUCUUAAAGGUACUAGGUGUAUAAUCUAAUACGUCAGAUGUACUUUUCGUCUAUAUAAGACUCAUCAGUGACGCUAAGAUCAAAAUAGUUACGUAGCCAAACAAGUACCAAGGUGAAGAGCAUUGAUGACCCAAAAAUCCAAAAAAAUGUGCCAAGUACGACUAAGGUUAACUUACAAAACGAAUGGAUAACAAACAUUCGCAAGUACCAUGGAAACUUAUCACAAAUAAAAAGAAAUAUGCGUUUUACACCCGGAAACUAUCGUCGUGUUUCUUAGUCAUGUUAGCUACUAUCAUUCAUUUUUAUUUUUUGGUAUGAAUACGAUAACUCUUUUAAUUCUGAAAAAUUGGAACCUGUAUUCAAAAGCAACAUCAAACACUAUAAAGACAGAAAAUAAACCGCACUAAAGUUAUAUGCUUUUAUUAUUAUAUUGCAGAGUACAGGUUAAUAUUGGGACGUGAAAGUGGUGUGACACAUCAGAAUUCAGGGGUCUUUUAAAUCUUGGCACCUUAAUACAGAGAAUGUUAGUUUAGAUAAAAAAAUCGUAACGAAACGAAAAAACAGAAUCUCAAUAUUUUUAAAAAGCAGUAUGAAAUCUUUCAAAAUAUAUGAAUAUGAAACGUAUUCAAGCACAUUUGAAGGUAUCACUAACUGCGACCGAACUCAACAGAAAUCUUUAAUAGCAUACUGAUUAAGAACAGAUGUGCAGCAUCUGCAUACGAAAACUCAUAUAUUCGUCUGUAAGAAAUACUAGUAUUUGAGAGUUAAAAACUUAUUUCAUUUUUCAUUUAAGCAUCAUUUAGAAGUUCUAUAGAAACAAGAAGGCGCCUAGUUGUCAAAAUGGUCUUUAUUGCCAAUCUACUGUAUACUUAUUCUGUUGACACUGAAGUUAUUAAUUCGAACCCCGCAAGUUCUACUCUAAUUUUAAUUGACAAUAAUGGUCAGAUUUUCGGUCGUUCCAAGAUUUGUGAUUCUUUUCAUGCACUCCCAUUUCCUCAAGCAAUUAAACCUUACCGCAACAUUUUAUCAAAUAGUACUGAACAUGACAUUAAACAUCUGAAUAUUUUUUUUUCAGGAAUAGGAUUUGGGUUAUGCUAUAACACUGGAUUGAUAGUGAUAGCGUUUAAUUUUGAAAAGAAACGUAACAUGGCGUCUGGCAUAGCUAUAUCAGGUGGUGGAAUUGGACCUUUUAUUUUAACUCCUGUUUUCCAAUUAAUAUAUGAGGAAUAUAAUUAUUCCGGAUAUUUUCUAUUACUAGGAGGCCUUGCAUUACAAAACUGUGUGUUCGGUGCCAUAUUUCGACCAUCUAAAACAGAACUUGCAAUGAAAACUGCCAAUUCAAAUCGUACGGAAAGUUUCAGUGAUUCGGUGUCGUCUUAUAUGGAGAUUGUUCGGAGUGGCUCAAUGCUGUGUGUAUGUUUAGGAUUCUUCCUGGCCAAUAUUAGUAUCUAUCUACUCUACAUACAUUAUCCUGAAUAUUGUCUCCAUACAAAAUCAACGAAAAUGGACGUGUCUAUAUUUUUAUCAAUAGCCGGUAUAUCUGGUUGUGUAACAAGGGUAUUAUUUGGUAUGGCUAAUAACAGUCAUAACAUAAACGAGUUACUAAUGCUUUUUGGAGUGUUUAGUUUGUUAGGGUUUGGUACCAUAAUCUUCCCUUUAUUUAGUUCAUAUACAACGGCCAAAGUGAUGUUUGCCUGCCUACUUGGCGGAUAUUCUGGUUGUUGCUGGGCAGUUGUGAAUUCUAUAGUUAUAAAUAUUUUAGGACAUGAGAGACUCGCACAUGGUGUUGGUUAUCUCAUGAUAUAUUGUGGAGUUGGAACAUUCAUAGGACCACCUCUGGCAGGUGAGUUUUAUCUUUUAUAUUUUUUUCAUACAUAAUUUUACACUAGAUUAAGCAUGCUAAGACUAAUAAGUUUCUGAAUUUAAUAAAUUUGCAAAGUUAAAUAAUCUUUCGUUCUUUUUUGGCAGACAUCAAUGGUGUUUAAUUAAAAUUAUUUGAUCGGGUGUAAAAGAGGGACGUAAGAUACCAGAGGGACAGUCAAACUCAUAAAUCGAAAAUAAAACUGACAACGCCAUGGCUAAAAUGACAAAAGGACAAAAGACAAACAAUAGUACACAUGACACAACAUAGAAAACUAAAGAAUAAACAACACGAACCCCACCAAAAACUAGGUAGAUAUAAUUACAUCAUGUAUAUUUUUGUUUACAAUAUGACUU
rnacentral:lncRNA from 1 species